AUAUUCUGGGGCAGUGUCCCCAGGAGGGCCUGACAGGUGCCUUUCCCCCCAAGUGCCUGUAUCCCCUUUGGUGAGUGAAGUCAGCAGGGAUGCUGUCACCAUGGCUACAUGCUCGGGAGCCCACAUCCUGUUUCAGGACUAUAUUUAAUUCCACUGUGCUCCAUUCAUCACUUCUUCCAGCAAGAUCAUAACAUUUUGACAUCAUCAGGGGCCUGGAGAUGCGAGCGUAUCGAUGCACCACUGAAAUGUCAGGAGCCGCCUGGAGGCCCAAGGCUGUUGGGAACCCGCAGGCACCACCAAGCCCACCUGUCUCCUAAUUGGAGCUCACUGCAG
rnacentral:lncRNA from 1 species